UGGGGAAUCUUCCGCAAUGGACGAAAGUCUGACGGAGCAACGCCGCGUGAGUGAAGAAGGUCUUCGGAUUGUAAAGCUCUGUUAUUAGGGACGAAUGUACUUACUGUAAAUAAUGGUAAGUAAUGACGGUACCUGAAGAGGAAGCCACGGCUAACUACGUGCCAGCAGCCGCGGUAAUACGUAGGUGGCGAGCGUUGUCCGGAAUUAUUGGGCGUAAAGAGCGCGUAGGCGGGACAAUAAGUCUGUCUUAAAAGAGCGGGGCUCAACCCCGUUAUGGGACAGAAACUGAUGUUCUUGAGUACCGGAGAGGAAAGUGGAAUUCCCAGUGUAGCGGUGAAAUGCGUAGAUAUUGGGAGGAACACCAGUGGCGAAGGCGACUUUCUGGACGGUGUCUGACGCU
rnacentral:rRNA from 1 species